rnacentral:rRNA from 1 species
GACGAACGCUGGCGGCGUGCUUAACACAUGCAAGUCGAACGGAAAGGCCCUGCUUUUGUGGGGUGCUCGAGUGGCGAACGGGUGAGUAACACGUGAGUAACCUGCCCUUGACUUUGGGAUAACUUCAGGAAACUGGGGCUAAUACCGGAUAGGAGCUCCUGUUGCAUGGUGGGGGUUGGAAAGUUUCGGCGGUUGGGGAUGGACGCGCGGCUUAUCAGCUUGUUGGUGGGGUAGUGGCUUACCAAGGCUUUGACGGGUAGCCGGCCUGAGAGGGUGACCGGCCACAUUGGGACUGAGGUACGGCCCAGACUCCUACGGGAGGCAGCAGUGGGGAAUAUUGCACAAUGGGCGGAAGCCUGAUGCAGCAACGCCGCGUGCGGGAUGACGGCCUUCGGGUUGUAAACCGCUUUCGCCUGUGACGAAGCGUGAGUGACGGUAAUGGGUAAAGAAGCACCGGCUAACUACGUG